rnacentral:lncRNA from 9 species
CUUGUGGUCUGAUCCUCAUGGCACUUUCUCCUCUUGUCAUUGCAGGUGGCCUUCAUGGUGAACAAAACACAUGACCCCGAGUACCCGAGGCGGAAGGUGUCCGGCAUCAGUGCUCAGAAAGUUGUUCCACCUUCCACCAAGAUGCUGGAUGAGGAGGACACUGACAAAGACGGGAUGAGUUUGGAGGUCGACACUCCAGUGACGAACCAUCGGGGUGACGACGACGAUGACGAAGAAGGUGGGUCUUCCUUGCUGGCAUUGGUUGGGGAGGCACCAGAUCCGGGGUUCCUUUUGGGAAAGAGGGUUGCUCCCAGCUCAUUCCCAGCCAUAGUGAUGCCCAAGGUGUACACGCCCUGGACACAAGUCUGCCCUGUAGAUGGUGCUUUGUGGCAAGAUAGGAGGCCCGGGAAGCGAGGUCCACACGUGAGCACGUGUGGUGUGAGCGUGUGGUUCCCCAGAACCUCUUGCCUGUUUCCGCCGCAGAGAGACGCGUCAGCUUCGUGGAGGACAAAGGCCACCCCCUCUGCAGAGCUUCUCUGCGUUCAUGCAUUCUCCCUUGACCACCGCUGCUCCCAAGUUGGCUCAAUGUCCCCGUUGCUCAGGUGGAGAGGGUGCCGAGCCAGGUGGCCCAAGCCCUUGACCUCCUACGUGCAAAAGCCAAAGGGGGACCCAGGCCGGGUUCCCCAUGGGGUUGCUCUGGACCCCUGACCUGUGCCUCUCCCUCAGCAGGGAGUCCUCAGUCAUGGAGCCCUGAGGGGCGAGGGCCCCUGUCCCCCGUCCAUGUUGGGUGUAGCAGGGACUCCAGAGGUCCUGUAACACCUGCCCAUCUCUAGAAGGUGGGCGGUCGGCGCUGGUGUCUUUGCUUCAACUUGGCCAAAAGAGAUCGGGCUCGGGGGUGUGUUUUCUCGUGUUGGAUGGUGUCACGUCAAGGCUUCCAACUGACCACCCUAGGUGGCACACACCCGGGGCUGUUGCACAUAAGAGCUCAGCGUGAAACCCCAUCGUCAGCCUGGUGUCCAGCACCAGGGUACAGAAGCGUCUGCAGCGCUGGGCGAGGAGGAGUCAGUGCUGAGUCUUUGCGUCUCUCCGUGACGAACUGUCCCAACUCGUUGUAAGGCUCCUAUGAGUGUGGGUAGCCUUUCACUCAGGGGACAUGCACGCCUCAUGUGGCACAGGGAGACGGGGGAGAACAAGCAGGAUGUGACUGAACGUGGCUGUUUUUGAGGGUAGGGUUUCCGUAGCGUCACGUCGUCUGUACUUGAUUUUCUUUGCGACAAGUAGGGUGGCAAAUACAGUUACCGGUAUGCUUUCCUGGAAUCGAAAUUAGCCCUCCAGGACAGUUGAAAGUUUUAAUCAACGGCAAUGUCUUAGGAAGAUGCAGCGAGUGCAGUAAAAACAACGGUGACUCUUGGGGCGCAGAUGAUCUGGGAAGAAGUCCAGCAGACCCUGGCCAUUUAGCAGACAUUUCAGACGGGCAGGAGAUGUCUGGGUCCCUACGCUCCCAAGAGAGCUUGCACUUGCGUGUCAUUGCCCAUCGAUGAGGUCCCCUUUGCUAGAAAACCACAGCUCUGGUUUCCUGUCUUGCCUGCCCUUCUCCUUUGCGUUCCUUCCUGCACCAAAGGGGCUGGCCCAGCAGCAGCUCAGUGCGCACUUACCAGCCACGCACAUCCAUUCACUGGCUCCCCACGUCGUCCUCAUCAGGAAAAACUCCCAGCGGGAUUCCUGAGCGUCACGCCCAGUGUCCUGACAGUUCCUCUGUGUGCCUCCAGAUCUCCCGAGAUAGUGCUGGAUGACGUGCCUGCGGUGAGGGUGGCGGGACGGCCUCCAUUCGCUCCGCGGGUAAGUUGGGUUUUUAGUCUGAGCUCGCAGUGUUGCUCUAUUUCCCCUCCGUGGACAUUAAGUUAUGACAGCCUGAGCCUGCACGUUCCAGACCAUGUGGACGGUUCCGAGGGUUGGGACUCCAUGUCAGGCGCGUCUGUUGCCAACUCCCGAUGCCUGCUUCCGCAGGGCAAUGCGAUAACAACACCUGUCCCAGCCUGCAGAGGACAGAGCUCCUUCUCCAGAAGCAUCUUUUCCUCGAGGGAAAGAGUUCUGUCAUCUCCAACUGACAUGGCCUUGGACAUCCCGUCGUCUAGGACAAGUUCUUGCCUUUGUCCCCGAGGAGGGUUUGCUCUGCCUUUGCUGGGUUCUCUGGACUCCACCGCUGUUGUGCAUCGGGGUUUCUGCUGUCACCAAGUGAAGGAAAGACCUGUGCAAAUAGGUGGCCUUGUGGUCUGAUCCUCAUGGCACUUUCUCCUCUUGUCAUUGCAGGUGGCCUUCAUGGUGAACAAAACACGUAUGUAUGCUGGAAG